AGGGGGAACGUUCCUCCAAGGACUAU
rnacentral:tRNA from 1 species